GAUGAACGCUGGCGGCGUGCUUAACACAUGCAAGUCGAACGAAGCAUUAUGCUUGAAACUUUUCGGAGGGAAGAGCGUAAUGACUGAGUGGCGGACGGGUGAGUAACGCGUGGGUAACCUACCAUAUACAGGGGGAUAACAGUUAGAAAUGACUGCUAAUACCGCAUAAGCGCACAGUAUCACAUGAUACAGUGUGAAAAACUCUGGUGGUAUAUGAUGGACCCGCGUCUGAUUAGCUAGUUGGUAAGGUAAUGGCUUACCAAGGCAACGAUCAGUAGCCGGCCUGAGAGGGUGAACGGCCACAUUGGGACUGAGACACGGCCCAAACUCCUACGGGUGGCAG
rnacentral:rRNA from 1 species